GACGUAGGGCGCGAGCGUUGUCCGGAUUCAUUGGGCGUAAAGGGCGCGUAGGCGGCGGGGUAAGUCUGGUGUGAAAUCUCGGAGCUCAACUCCGAAAUUGCACUGGAUACUGCUCUGCUAGAGGGCUGGAGAGGAGAUCGGAAUUCACGGUGUAGCAGUGAAAUGCGUAGAUAUCGUGAGGAAGACCAGUGGCGAAGGCGGAUCUCUGGACAGCUCCUGACGCUGAGGCGCGAAGGCUAGGGGAGCAAACGGG
rnacentral:rRNA from 1 species